rnacentral:rRNA from 1 species
AACGAAUGCUGGCGGCGUGGAUUAGGCAUGCAAGUCGAGCGGUAGAUAUUGAAGCUUGCUUCGAUAUUGAGAGCGGCGAACGGGUGAGGAAUACUUGGGUAAUUUGCCCUAAAGUCUGGAAUAGCUUCGGGAAACUGGAGGUAAUGCCGGAUGUGAUCGCACAUCAUAAGAUGUGCUGUUUAAAGUGUGGGAUCUUCGGACCACACGCUUUAGGAUAGGCCCGAGUCCUAUCAGCUAGUUGGUGAGGUAAUGGCUCACCAAGGCUAAGACGGGUAGCUGGUCUGAGAGGAUGGUCAGCCACACUGGGACUGAGACACUGCCCAG